rnacentral:rRNA from 1 species
CAAUAGCGUAUAUUAAAGUUGUUGCAGUUAAAAAGCUCGUAGUUGAAUUUUUGCUUGCCGCCGAUGUCGGAACUUCCGUACGUUCGGCGGCGUGCAUCCUUGGGUGGAACCUGUGUGGCAUUAGGUUGUCGUGCAGGGGAUGCUCAUCGUUUACUGUGAAAAAAUUAGAGUGUUCAAAGCAGGCUUACGCCGUUGAAUAUAUUAGCAUGGAAUAAUAAGAUAGGACCUUGGUACUAUUUUGUUGGUUUGCGCACCGAGGUAAUGAUUAACAGGGACAGUUGGGGGUAUUCGUAUUCCAUUGUCAGAGGUGAAAUUCUUGGAUUUCUGGAAGAUGAACUACUGCGAAAGCAUUUACCAAGGAUGUUUUCAUUAA